UACGUAGGCAGCAAGCGUUGUUCGGAAUUACUGGGCGUAAAGCGUGCGUAGGCGGUGGCUCAAGUUUGGUGUGAAAUCUCCCGGCUCAACUGGGAGGGUGCGCCGAAAACUGAGUUGCUCGAGUGUGGGAGAGGUAGGCGGAAUUCCUGGUGUAGCGGUGAAAUGCGUAGAUAUCAGGAGGAACACCGGCGGUGUAGACGGCUUACUGGACCAUAACUGACGCUGAGGCACGAAAGUGUGGGGAGCAAACAGG
rnacentral:rRNA from 1 species